AAUAUUGCGCAAUGGGGGAAACCCUGACGCGGCGACGCCGCGUGAACGAUGAAGGCCUUCGGGUCGUAAAGUUCUGUCCUCAGGGAAGAAUAAAUUGACGGUACCUGAGGAGGAAGCCCCGGCUAACUACGUGCCAGCAGCCGCGGUAAUACGUAGGGGGCAAGCGUUGUCCGGAUUCAUUGGGCGUAAAGAGCUCGUAGGCGGUUCAGUAAGUCAGGUGUUAAAGCUCCGAGCUCAACUCGGAGAGGCCAUCUGAUACUGCUGUGACUAGAAUCCAGUAGGGGAGCGUGGAAUUCCUGGUGUAGCGGUGAAAUGCGCAGAUAUCAGGAGGAACACCAGCGGCGAAGGCGGCGCUCUGGGCUGAGAUUGACGCUGAGGAGCGAAAGUGUGGGUAGUAAAC
rnacentral:rRNA from 1 species